UGGUUGCAUUCGUGUGCUAAAACGCGUGAUUGCAGCCUUUUGUUUCUUUUGCCACUCGAGACUAAAUUUCCGUUAGGAACAAAAUGUCACUGGAAUGAAUAGCUUUUUAAGGGGUAAGAUCUUGAAAUACAUUAUCCAUGGCUCCUGCAAAUGAGUACCUAUGUUCCUCAAAACUGUCUAAGAGAGGAGCACAUCGAAAGAAACUCAUCUGGUCUGAUUUUACUGUCUUCCAGGUUGGUUGAGCAGAGGAUUUAACGACAGUCCAGAGGUGAGGGGACUUCCAAAAAUGUGUGAGGAAGGGAGGCUAA